ACUUCCUUUGUCAAUUGUCCACUUUGGACCAGAAAUGUAGUUAGAGUCUUACCUGGUUCAGCAAGUGAAUCCAAAUUCUCUUGACCAAGGAGAGUUUCUAGUGUUGUGACUUGAGGCUUUGCCUGUAGCCUUGUCCUGUUAAACAUGUUUAUCAUUGACCUAGAUAAGGCCACUGCUGCCAAGCUUAUCAAAUUUAAUACUGAGGCAGAAGAAAAACAGCAACUGACACUUUGUUCUACAGGACAGAAUCAAGAUCCUGCAAAAUGUUUGCCUUGAUUUAAAAGUUCAGCUGCACAAAUGGAGGAGAGGAAACAUAACCAGGAUUAACAGCGAUACAUACCCAAGAGCCGUAAGGAUUUUAGUGGACUACAAGUGCUCACUUCCCCACAACUUAAGACAACCGUACGCUAAAUUAUUAAAGGCAGCUGAUGACCAGGGCUGAGAACUUGCCCCAGACCACGAGCCUCUCUGUUGAUAAAGCAAGCAGACUUACAGUUUUUCGGCAUCUCAGGGAGCCUGCAGCAGUGAUCCAGUUCUUUCAAAGGGUCUGUGGAUUCUCAGCUUUCCAGACUAGGCUCUGGUGAUAGGUCACCUUCCAUCGGGAAAAGAAAGCAACGCAAGUAAAGAAACAACAUCAUUUUGUGAUGAUGCAAUGAAGGAAAUAAACAAGAAGAUAUGAUAAAUAGUACCUGGAGCGCCUACUUCACAAGAAAGCCUGAGAGAGUCCAGUUGUACUCAAGGAGAGGGAGAAGUAGCCAGGAGACAGAUCCGGUAGGACUGUGAAAGCCAUGGUAAGAAGCUGGGAACGUAUCCCAAGUACGUUGGAAAGCUGCUGGAAACUUUUAAGCAGGGAAGUUAUACAAUCUGAUUUACAUUUUGAAAAUGGCUCGCUGUUUGAGUAACAAAUUCUAAGUGGGCAGAUGCAGAGGCAGGAAGACCAGUUAGGAAGUGACUGAAAUGGUCCAUGUGAGAGAAGUUAGUUGGUGGCUUAG